CUGAUGCCAUUUUGGUGUUUUUUCUGUAAACUUUUGAUAUCUAGCAAUGCCUCUGCUUGCUUUUAUUUAAAUGAAAAUCCACGCUAAGCAUACGUAGCACCACAACACCGAGGAGCUGACAGUACUGCUUUGGUGCACCGGAGAUUAAGAAGAAUGAACCAAGAAGUUCAAAUUGCUGUCAGUUCCUGCAUCAAAUCAAAAGCCUACCUAUGUCUGCAUUCACACGGAGGGAGCUGAUUGCUCAGAGUACCAGAAAAGGAGGACAGGACACCCAAAGGAACUUAGAUUAACGUUACCUGCUUGCUGAGAUGGCCUGCUGCCGUGGACGUGAUGGAGGGGCACACAUUGACCUGCCUUCAUUCUGUAUAUCCCCAAGAUGGAGAGAGCGUCGUUAUCGAGGCGUAUCUUUUGAAGCAGUGAAUAAGUAAAGAAAACCACGAGGUGGUAGAGCAGAACAUAGGGAAGGACGGCCCAUCUCCAAGCACCUGAGGCACGUCCUAUUGGUCUUGCUUUAAAGAGAGCCCAUUCCACGUAGCCUGAUGCUCAAAGAGAAGCUUUGCAUCAAGUGCUGCUCCACGACUUCUCCCAGUCAUUACCUGGAAGCUGCAUCCUUCAUUAAUCCCAUGCAUGGCAACGAGACGUCUGCUCACGGCUUCCCCCAGCGUGCCUUCCUGAUGUGCUGCUGCAGCAGGAGAGAAAGUUUUGGUGGCGCUGACGCUGGGAGGUGACAGGAGAAGAGGUGUGCUCAGCCUUUUGCACUGCACGGGAUGCAUCUGUGUGUGCACGGGGGGGCACACGGGUUGGUCAGCACAGUGUGUGUGCCCAGUGCAUUUUUCCACGCCACGCUGACGUGGAGCCUCCUCACCUCCAUCCACAUCCAUCUGUUGUUCCCCUCCGUCAGCGACUUUGCGAGAUGAUUGAUCUCAGGCUUAGGUCAUUUUUCAAGUUGCAGAUCUUGUCAAUCUGUCUGGCUCCACCUACAUGCAGUGAUUCAGCUCCUGAUGUGCUGAAAUAUUCCCCUAAGCCUUCCCACACACCACCGAGGGCUUUUUUUAUAGUCCUUCUCCAGGCUGCACCACCUCUCCCGCGCUGUGCUCAAAGCGUGUGUUCUUUGCAUGAUGUUUGCAUGAUUCCUUUUGCUCGGAGAGCAGUGCAGAAAGUCGAGUUAGAGCUCCUGAAGAGUUAGGAGAGCCACUGCAAAACACGCUCCCCACCUAAAGGCUGGAUCCCGUGUAUCACAUUUGGCUAAUGUGCUGUGAUUAAAGGAACUGGAGACAAGCGUGGGGCUUUCCCCCCCUCCCCGCCCCGUCCCUGUACCUUCAGGUAUUCUCUCUUUAGGACUUGGUCUUUGUAACAGUUAAUAUUCUCGGUAGGGUGUUGCAAGUUCUGCAUUUGCACACUUGACCUGAAAUAGAAGUGGCUGUCACAGAAUUAUGGAGGGAGUUACACUCGCGUGGCUACGGUGGUAAUAAUAACUUUGCUGUAGUUAUAUUGAUCUAUUUCCACAUCCAGAAAACGGCUUAAUGUGCUCUUACACCUCUGCUUUGCCUUCAGUACAGCGUUCUUAACUCCCUGCCUGUGUGCAGGGGGUGGCUUUGGGUGACAGCCAUGCUCUGAGGAUGCUCAGCUGAGGACGGUGCCAGCACAGUGCUGAGCCCUCUUUGCACAGCGACUGCAGACAGCAGAGGGCUGUGCUGGAGGCACAGCUGAGAGGUGUGAGACCCACAGCAGCUCUUGGGGGCAGCUCCCCAACUUGGGGCUGCUUGGCAAAUGGCUGCAGAGCAGCAGCAGAGGGAAUUGGGAGCGAGCCCUGAUAGGAAAUGGGGAAGCCGUAAGCAAGCAUUGUGCAGGUGGGCUUGGAAGCAGCAGUGCCAGCCUUCUCCUUUCAGUUGUGUUCGGGGAAGUUGGAUCUUAGAAUCACAGCAUCAUUAGGACUGGAAAAGACCUCUAAGAUGACCAAACCCACCCCACAGUGCCCACCGACUGCCCCCGGGUGCCACUCCUCCACUGUUCUUCAUUGUGGCGAUGGAGUUUUUGGUAGGCAAGUGGAGUUGUGCUAAAGAAUGCGUCUAAUUUAUGUAAUCCGUGUUCUGUUAAUGAAGCCGAGUGUUUUAAGGACUUGCUAAUUACACAGGUUAAAAAAGGAGGUAACUUAGGGUCACGAGUGAAAUUAAGAAGCGAAGGAAAGAAGAAAAAGCCUGAGCUGCCUGUGCUGAAAAUGGAACAGAGCACAGGCAUAACAUCUAGAAACCAGAUUUGCCGAAAGAAAAGCUUGAAAUAAGAGCUGGCACUUCCCUGGGUGUUGUGGGACGUGACGCAGUGACUUCCCAAAAGGGCUGAGAGCGCAGCGUGGGCAAAAGUGACAGCGUUUGGAGCUGCUGUUGCAGUUGCUGGGGUGACUUCGGGAGCCCAUGCACAGCAUUCCUUAUGGAGCUUCGGGAUGGCAUCGGCUCAGGCUGCACAGAGCCACAAAGGAUGGGGAGGACCUCAGAGAGCACCAACCCACCCCACUGUGUCCCCACGGGCCACAUCUGCACUGUUCUUGGCCGCCUCUGGGAGUUUUUGGGGGGGCUUUUUUAUGCCUAUCUGGAAAUAGGAGAAGCGGGGAAUGGAGAGGUUGCACCGUUCCGUUGCAAGUAAUGGAAAAGCCACUAUUUUUAGUGGUUGGAUGGGGGUGAUUCAGCUCACCGAACGAAAUAUUCG
ensembl:lncRNA